GACGAACCGUCCUAACGUUGUUCGGAAUCACUGGGCUUAAAGGGCGCGUAGGCGGGUCAGCAAGUCCGGGGUGAAAUCUUUCGGCUCAACCGGAAAAUAGCCUUGGAUACUGCUGGUCUUGAGGGAGGUAGGGGCCUGUGGAACUUCCGGUGGAGCGGUGAAAUGCGUUGAUAUCGGAAGGAACGCCGGUGGCGAAAGCGACGGGCUGGACCUCUUCUGACGCUGAGGCGCGAAAGCUAGGGGAGCAAACGGG
rnacentral:rRNA from 1 species